rnacentral:rRNA from 1 species
AGAAGGUGCUUGCACUGGAAGUUGAUUGACGUGAGUGGCGGACGGGUGAGUAACACGUGGGUAACCUGCCCUUAAGCGGGGGAUAACAUUUGGAAACAGAUGCUAAUACCGCAUAAAAGUUGAGAUCACAUGGUCUUAAUUUGAAAGACGGCCUUUGGCUGUCACUUAAGGAUGGACCCGCGGCGUAUUAGCUAGUUGGUGAGAUAAUAGCCCACCAAGGCGAUGAUACGUAGCCGACCUGAGAGGGUAAUCGGCCACAUUGGGACUGAGACACGGCCCAAACUCCUACGGGAGGCAGCAGUAGGGAAUCUUCCACAAUGGACGAAAGUCUGAUGGAGCAACGCCGCGUGAGUGAAGAAGGUUUUCGGAUCGUAAAACUCUGUUGUUGGAGAAGAACAGGGACUAGAGUAACUGUUAGUCCUUUGACGGUAUCCAACCAGAAAGCCACGGCUAACUACGUGCCAGCAGCCGCGGUAAUACGUAGGUGGCAAGCGUUGUCCGGAUUUAUUGGGCGUACAGCGAGCUCACGCGGUUUCUUAAGUCUGAUGUGAAAGCCUUCUGCUUAACCCAAGAAGUGCAUCAGAUACUGGGAAACUGGAGUGCAGAAGAAGAAAGUGGAACUCCAUGUGUAGCGGUGAAAUGCGUAGAUAUAUGGAAGAACACCAGUGGCGAAGGCGGCUUUUUGGUCUGUAACUGACGCUGAGGCUGGAAAGUAUGGGGAGCGAACAGGAUUAGAUACCCUGGUAGUCCAUACCGUAAACGAUGAAUGUUAAGUGUUGGAGGGUUUCCGCCCUUCAGUGCUGCAGCUAACGCAUUAAGCAUUCCGCCUGGGGAGUACGACCGCAAGGUUGAAAUUCAAAGGAAUUGACGGGGGCCCGCACAAGCGGUGGAGCAUGUGGUUUAAUUCGAAGCUACGCGAAGAACCUUACCAGGUCUUGACAUCUAGCGCCAAUCCUAGAGAUAGGACGUUCCCUUCGGGGACGCUAAGACGGGUGGUGCAUGGUUGUCGUCAGCUCGUGUCGUGAGAUGUUGGGUUAAGUCCCGCAACGAGCGCAACCCUUAUGAUUAGUUGCCAGCAUUUAGUUGGGCACUCAAAUCAGACUGCCGGUGACAAACCGGAGGAAGGUGGGGA